rnacentral:lncRNA from 12 species
CCCCACUACUGGUUUCUCUGACCAGCCUGCUGUGUGUGUUUGCAGGCAUGGCUGAAGGACCUGAGGCUACCGUGAUCUUUGCAAGGAGCCAGAGACAUGAUAAUGAAAGCUGAGAGCACCCUCUGUCUUUGUAAGCAUCUGUUUGUGUGCUAUGUGGUCAGGAGAAGAACAAGGAUCCAGAGCUGAGUGUCGAGAUCCGAUGAACUUGACCUUAUAGUGACUGAGCAUCUGAGAAGUGGAAG